GAUGAAGCAGCCAUGGUUGCAAGCCCUUGCCCCUCACCUGGACUCCCAGAAGCCUGAACUGGGUGGGGCAGCCGUAAUUCAUAGGGUCAUUGUGAGAGGGAACAGCUGGCCUGUCAGGUAGCAUUCUGCCUCUUAUUUGGAAACCCACUUAAGGCUGAGAAUACUGGUGCUCCAAAGGCAGCGAGCGCUCCUCCUGUCUGUAAUAUCCUUAGCUAUUAUCACAAUGAGUAUAGCACUUUAGGGGGUAACCCACUGAUACAGUCGAGCUUGACUCUGAAAUGUACAGUAAUGAACUGCAGCAGCUGUAGUGUUCUAAAUCAAAGAUUCCUAGCCCCAGUGAGGGCAUGGGAAGGGUAGUACAUCCUCUCUGUAAGUAGAUUCUUUGCCCAGGCAGCCUGCCUAGUACCUUAAAAGUAAAAUCCUAUUAUACCUGUGAAACCCCACAGUGAGGGUCAGAGUCAGACAACUGUCACAAAGCAACUUGGGCAAAUUCCUGGGAUGUCAGGCCACUACUAGAGCUUUCAGGGACAACAAUUAUCCUAUCUACUGAAUAUCUUGACAAGGACUAGAAAAAAGCACAGGUCACAGCAUAAAGAAUUGGCAUUCAUUAUUGUCCUCUUGAGUCACCUCCCAGGGCCAAUCAGAACAACAAAGUCAUGCACCUUGCAGAAAUUUCCACUUUUUUAAUCCAACUGAAGAAAUACACAGACCAGACAACAAACACAGUUUUUGGCAGACCCAAGCAAAUUUUUUAAAUUGUGAUUUCUACUGAGUUCAUCAGACAAUGCAGUAAUGAAAGGGGAGAUUUAGAGGCAGUAGAAAAUAGAGAAAGUCUGUUGUAGACGCUCUGAAAGCCCUGACUAUGUGAACGCAAAUUAACAUAAAACUUGAUCAAUUAUUUACAUGGCUAUGGAAUUUAUAACCUUCCUUAGUCUCCCAAAAGCAUUUCUUCAUCAGGAUUCCCUGAAACUCAGAGGGAUAGCAAGUGAAGAGAAUGAGGUCAGAGCUUCUGUCCAUUAACUGACAAGUCAUUCAUCCACAGAUUGACAAGGUAGAAUAGGACACAUCCUGAUGAGGAGACCCAAGGAACCAGAAGGUUUAGACUACCCAUUCUGCUUCUUAGAUGCCUUCCCUUUAAAAUGUUCAAUAAUAGUCCAGAUGACAGUCAGGAGGCAGGCAUUCCAGGGCUAAGCUGGAGAGAGCAAGCCUCUGUCUUCAGAACAGGAAGAGUGAUCAGAGAGACUCCACUAGGCAGUGUUCGUCCCACAACACAAGGGCCACGAAAUCACUAUUCCACAGACACAUGUUGGUUAGAACUGAAAUCAUCCAACUUCAAGCUCACAGCAUGAAGGAUGACAGCAGGAAGCAACUAUUUCCCUUUUCCUUCAUCAGAUUCCCAUCUCACGAUUAUUAUUCUCUUUUUUCCUCCACUUCCUCAAUAUUAAGGCUGAUAUGUUAAUAACCUGUCGACAUGUUGCCAUGAACAUUCCCAACAAAAAGCAAAUUAUUACAAAGAUUUACCCUUUUCCUAAAAUUUCCAAAAAUUCACACAGAAAAAUCAACACUAUGCUUAAAUAUUUCAGAUUAUACAUCAAUUGCUUACUUCACAGUGAACUCCUGGUCUGCAGAUGUUCUAUCCUUCUUCUUCCCCAAAAGCUCUCAUUGAUCUAGACAAGUUUUCAAAAUUUCUAGUGACUAAGAAUUUCAAGUUAUGUUGUCCUGUUAUAACAUGGAUCACCUAGGUUUCAUGAGAAAGCAUCUGAUUUUUUUUUCCUCCUGGUAAAUUCAAUCAUCUUUCUGCACUUAUUCCUGACUCCAUUGACUCUCUACCCUUAAAAUAUCCUUUGUGCCACGUUCUUUGUGAACACUUGUUACUCCUGGAUAUUGGCUGAGACCCUGCUCAUUUUUUUGAAUUGUGUUGCAGGAUUUUUGUCAUUUAAAUAAUAUCAUAGGAUAGUGUUGCUUAGGUGCAUUUGUUUGGGGAGAUAUCAAAGAGUUAACUUCAUUUUCCAUCUUCAGUUUAACAAAGCUCUCAGGGAGAUACUUCUACCAAUCUUAGAUUUUAAAAUUUCCCAAGUUUUGCAUUCACUCCAUGUUGACUACAGCAUAACAAUGCACCUUUUUUUUGGAUUAUGCUAAGAUAACUUCAGAAAAUUCAUAUUCUGUUCUUAUUCUGUUCUUUCAUGUGUAUUGAAAUUGAGUAGUUCUCAAGAUGACUAAAAUGAGAAAGGUUAAUUUUCUUCAUGAGCAGUGGACUGAAAAACAGCAUUCUUAUAAACUAUUAUCUUGGAUAUAGACUACCAGGAGUUUAAAAAAUAAUCAGUCUUUAUUGUGGGUCAUUCUUUCUCUUAUUUCAGACAUAUCACACAUAGCCCUGAAAGUGUUAUUCAGGAGUAUAGGUCUGUCCAUAGCACUGUCACCAGAGAUAUAGUGCCUGACCUCUGUGAGUUUAUAAUGGGCUAAAGAAAAGGAGAACGUUGGUGAUAAAGCACAAACUCCAAAAUUGAGUUAGAAUGACUCUGUGAAUUCAGUGGUACCACUUGGAGAUCGGUGGUUUAACCAAAUGCAAACUCCGGGUCUCCUACUAGAGUCCAGUUAAUACUUUUAGGUAUUAAACAAAACUCCAGUGAAAAGGAAGACUUUACUUUUUUUAAACAUUAAAUUAUAAAUUUUAAUAGGUAAUACAUUAAUAUGAUUUAAAAAAUUAAAAUAACAUAAACUAGAGUUCCCAUUGUGGCACAGUGGAAAUGAAUCCGACUAGGAACCAUGAGGUUGCAGGUUCGAUCCCUGGCCUUGCUCAGUGGGUUAAGGAUCCGGCAUUGCCGUGAGCUGUGGUGUGGGUCACAGACAUAGCUCAGAUCCCGCGUUGCUGUAGCUCUGGCAUUAGGCUGGCAGCUAUACUCCAAUUAUACCCCUAGACUGGGAAACUCCAUAUGCCACUGGUGCAGCCCUAAAAAAAAAGACAAAUAAAUAAUAAUAUAAAGUACUGUCCCUAUCCACUCCUUCCUGCCUGGCCUCCUCUCUACUAUUUAGUACUCUAGUUUCUCAGAUAUUUCCAAUGUUGUCCUAUGCAAAUACAAGCAAAUAUGAAUGUUUUAUUUUACAUACACACACACAAAAAUAGCUGACUCUGGACAAUUUUUUUGCACUUUGCUUUUUCCACUGAUAAAAAAUCCUGGAAAGCUUUCAAAUCAGGGUAUAGGGAAAUUUUUCAUUCUUACUGCCACAGAUUAUUCCAUUGACAGCUCACCCAUUGUGUGGAUGUACAGUUUAUUUCACCCCAAUUUCAUCUGGAUUCUGAAUUAUGGUUGUAAAGGCAACCCUAACUCUUGUUAGCUAAGGCAUUUGCAGCAAAGACAUUUUUUUCUAGGCAAACAAACUAAAAGAGUGAUUGUGAAAAAUUGAUAUUUGAGACUUGGGAAACAUUUCUUUUUAACUGGUCUCACGGAAAGGUCAGCCUAAGAAAGAUAAUCUAGACAUCUCAACAAGAUGACAGAUGCUGGGUCCUUUGGCUGUGUUUAUAUAAGAAGACUACAUUUUCUCUAAUCUGGUUUAAUCUUGGUGUGUUUGGUACACACACACAUGGACACAAUGCAUGUACUUUUCUGAGACUUCAGUUCACACAUAUUAAGGGGAAAGGGUGAUGGGUGACAGGUGAUGUACAUAGUGACAGUGCCUACCAAGAAUCAAGGAUACCGCAGUUCUUUAUUUCUCCCCAAAGCAGCUGCAUGUUGAAGUUAUCAGACCGAAUCAGGCUUAAGGGACAUUAAAUGUCAGGAGAGCAGACCUGCUAUAGAAAGCUGAUGGGAGCUGCGGGAACCUUUAGUAUCAAAUGUUCUCCUGUAUAAUAAUAGGCAGCAGCAUCAAUCUCAGAAAUGCUGCUACAAAUGUCAAAGAAAACCUUCCCCGUAUAUAGAUUAAAAUUGCAGAUAAAAACAGAGGACCAAAUCAAAGCCCGAGUGUUCCCUUUUUGAAAUCACCCUGCCAAAAAUGCAAUUUCUGAGUUAUCAAAAAAUAGAAUCUCUCAAACAGCAUUCAUAAAGUUUCACAUUUUGGUGUUAUCACAGAGGCUUAUAUUGAGAAAAUGCUAUUUCUUCCUUCCCUUCCCCUUCAAGGUUGAAGCAGCAUCCUAUCUUUUCUUUCUAACAAACAAUGUUUCCCUCAGAAUAGCCAGCUUGGAGGCAAACAGUACUGUGUUCUGCACAGCCAGAAAGCCACACUCCAGUGCACGUUUGCCAUCUCCUAGGAAAUCCCCCUUUGCAAAAGGAUCUGUGAAAUAAACUUUUGAAAGUGACCUUAUGAAGUCGACAUCAAUGACCCCUGAAUAAGAUUUCAUCUGGUGGAGGAAGUUAUACUCCAUAAUAAAAUAAAGUGUCAGCUGAGAAAUCUGGGUAUAAAAAAAUAAACAAUAGAGUUUGGAUUUAUAAGGCCUCUUUUGGAUGUGACAAUCCAGACAUUAAGCAUUAAGAGUUUGAUCUGUCAAGUAGAAGAUUAGGUUGGGAGAACUUUUUUCCCCUAGGAAAGGCAAUAUGAUGAAAAGAAAUCCUCAUCAGCUUUGGUUAAGGUACACAGACACACAUGUAUAAGCACACAUACCUAAAUAAAGCUGUACCGCCAGAAGAGACCUGCUGGGAUUAAUUUAGCAAUUUGCCACAGAUUCUAGAACACGGAAGCUCUGGGAAACAGUGACUCUCUUCCUUCUUCACACUUACACAUUAACAAUGACCCUAAUGCAUUUCCCUGACAAAAAAAUGUUCAGCACAAUGUCAUUUCCCCACUGUCACCCUCAAGAACACCUUGCUCAAUGAUAUCCCCACAUGACUCUGGAUAUGGAAAGGACUCCAUACAGGUUUUUUAUAAUCUGAAGGUAAGUUGUCGAGAUAGAGCUACAAGGGUUCUUAAAACAGACAAAGCAUUUCUGUUAGAGAUUUCAUUUGAUUUUCUGAUACUUUUCUGAGCUGUGCUACUAUUUUCCUAUGCACUUCUCGGACUCUCUUAAGCAUUCAUAUGUCUCAGUUUCCCUCUCUGAACAAAGUAUAUGGAGGAAGGUUUUUUUGAAGAGAAAGAGUCUUGGUGUUAUCACUGAGAUCAGAGCAGUUUCAAAGGUUCUCGGUUAAUCUCUGAUAAAUGUUCAAUAAGUGAUACUACUUGUGAACCAUGCCUUUGCCAUAGGCUGUCUCACAACUUGGAUAAUUGCUCUUACUGCUGUUAGGGUGGCAGUGCUAUUGUGACCAUUGUCACUUCAGACAUCAAAUCUUAAAGCAGUCAAUUGGAAAAAAAAAAGUGCUGGAGUUCCCGUCGUGGCACAAUGGUUAACGAAUCCAACUAGGAACCAUGAGGUUGCGGGUUCAAUCCCUGGCCUUGCUCAGUGGGUUAAGGAUCCGGCAUUGCCAUGACCUGUGGUGUAGAUUACAGACGCAGCUCAGAUCCUGUGUUGCUAUGCCUGUGGCAUAGGCCAGCGGUUACAACGCCUAUUAGACCCCUAGCCUGGGAACCUCCAUACUCCACGGGAGU
rnacentral:lncRNA from 1 species